AGGUUGGGGUCUUCAGCCCUUGCAUGAGUGAUUUUGUGGCUGCCCUAGUUGGUUAGGGUGCUGGAGGGGUUGUUCCUCUCAUCUGGCUUGCGGAGUCCUGCUUUUGCUGUUCCUUGGCAGUGGCUUCACUUGAAGUUCCUUGUGAAUGACUGACUUGAGGGAAGAGAAUGUAGAGGUUGAUGUCAGCCUCCUUCUGCUCUGCAGGGGGCUAUGGAUGGAGCAUGUUCUUCCUGGACUGCUCUAGGACUGCUGGAGAAAACUGUAACCAAUCCACCCAAUCCCUUUGAGAUGGAAGUGCAUUCCUGGGAAGCUGGAGGAGCUGGAUGAAGAAGAGAUCGGGAAAAAAGCCAGAAGACAACGGAGUUUGGCGUUUUGACCCCUGCUGCUGAAAAGAGCCAGACACUUCUUCGUGAUUGACCCAGGUGCCUGGGAUGAAAGCAGGCUGCCUCCGAGGACCAGGCUGCCUUCUUCGGGGCGCGGAGAGCUGGUGUUGCUGGAGGUGCGUGACCGUCUGACGUGUUUACAUCCUGGACUGCUGAAGUAAUAUCUGUAGGCCAUCACUUUGGCUUGAAAAUUGAUUUUAUUAGGUGAAAAUGAACUGAAGAAAUGAACUGCAAGCCCCAUUGCUGCGCUUACAAAGUGCGUUAUCCAGCCUUAUGUGCCCGGACGUAAUGAAUACACAGAGACCACCUACUUUGAACACUCCUCUGAUUUUUCCAGUUUCUUUAAAGUCUAAUAAUAUUGGCGAUGCAGGAUGAAAGCAAUUGUGAAAAGUGAAAAAGUCCUUGUUUGCCUAUCCUGUCAUCUGGGGUCUGUUUCACUGAAGCUGAAAAUGAAGGUAACUUGCCUUAAUGCAGCAGGACAGCUUUUAGUCUAAUUGAACCAUGCAUCGGCAAGAACCCAGUAUUGAGCCUUCAGUCUCGGGUUAAUCCCUUUUAUUGGCUUGGGUGCAGGUUAUCAUCCCUUCUUAUCAAACAAGGACCCCUUUCUUCUCGCUCAGGAUCAGGACUAAAAGCCAGUUGAGAAAGAGCUGACAAAUUCAAAGCGGUAAGCCUCCCCCCGCUCCGAAACUGCCCCGUGCACCCACGAGGCGCUCUGCGGCACACACACGCUUCAGCUGCAAGGCUCGGGUGCGUUUUUGUUGCUGGGAAGCUCCCUCCCUCUCUUCCUCCCCUUUCAGCUGUGAUUUUUGUAGCAGCAGCUUCAAAGUGCACGGACUUGGUUCAAUUGUUUUGCCCAGCGUUCGCCGAUCAGUAUGUCAGAUUAAAUUUAUGGGCAGUUGACCAGUGCUUAGUAUUUGAACACCUGCUUCAACCUCCUCGUCUGGCACAGCUCUGUGAGCAGAGGUUUUAUAACAAGGAGGAGAAGAGGAGGAAAAGUCAGCCUUAUUAAAGGUCAGAGCAGCCUAACAGGAGAUACAAUAAAUGAAGAUCUUUAUGAAGGCCUGAGACCGUCAUGCUUCCGCAGCAGGGUUCGUCUCCCUUUCCUCUGGAACAUCUGGUCUGUGACUCCCCGAAACGGGAUACUGAGCGAGGUGAACCCUGGCUCUGAUCCGGUUCGGCGCUUCAGUUCCCCCUUGCACCCUCCAAGCUCCAGCAGUCAGCAGCAAUUUGAGGUGUGUGAGAAGUGUGUGACCCAGCAAAAUUUUGAUGCCUCUGAAAGAAUCCGCUCCUUUGUCUGCUUCUGGGAGGUUUGGCCAAAUUCUUCCCCUCGUCGCUUGCAUCCCCUUCUCACUCUUUCCCUGCAGGCACUCUAAAAGAAAAGCUUGCAAUAUCUUAAAAAACUUCCUUUCCCUCCAUAUUGUUCUUUGGUGAAAGCAUAGUGAAGCUGGGAUCUUUUUUUUUUGUUUUCUUUUUUUUUUUUUUUUUUCAUACAAAACAGCACAAUGCCUGCUGGCCUGGGUAUCCGAAAUAUGGUUUUAUUGUUGUGGAAAGGCCUUAAUGAGGAAGAAAAAAACCCUAUUUAAUAAAGUGCAUCAAGUGCCCUUGGGAAAAAUUAGCACACAAUGACUUCUUGUGCUGCCAAUUGAAACAACAGAUUGGUGUAGUGAUAGGCUUUACAGGAAAUAUUAAAAAAGCACAGAUGGCUCAAGUUUACAUGUUUACAGUGGAGUUGGAACAGCAGCUAAAACCUUCCAGUGUAGUAUAAUUUACUAGAAGGUCAUAGACCUAGUGGUUAAGAAUGAACCUGAAGACUAUUGUAAACACACUAUUAGGGUUUGUAGAGGUCUAAUCCCAGCAUUUUUCAUUCUUUUCUGCAAUAUUAGAAGCAACUGGCUGCAGUGUUAGUGAAAAGAGAUACUUCAAGCAUGGAAAAAUGUGACAUUCCACUGGCACUUGUGGGGCUGAGCUGUUGCAGGAGCUGGAAGAGGGUUAUGCAAUUGCUACUGUUACUAUGUAAUUAGAAGCUCCUUGGCACUAAUCGGCGAUUCAGCUCACAAUGUGAUUAAAAAAAAAAAAAAAAUACAUACUGAAAAUGUAGCUAGAAACAAGCUGCUUCAGCAAUUCCGGGAGGAUGGGCUGUGCCCUUAGGAGCCGUGGUUCACAGCUCUCGAGGACAGCUGGCCAGAGGAGGAGAGACCCCUGGGCUCCGGGGCAAGUCCUCGCUCUGCCAGAGCUUCCUAUAAGGCCCAGGCCAAGCUGGUGAGGAUCUUCCCCUAUUUAGAUGCCUAGAUGAAAUGCUAGAGCCCUUUCUUUAUUUGAAAGUUUGCUGCAUCUGCAGUGGGAUCUAGUAGAAAUGUGGCCACAGCAGGUAGCAGGGCUCUCAGCAGGGAUGCCUUGAGCUUCCCAGGCAUAUUUUUCAUCAUCUGUUGCCUCUUUUGCUUGUUCUCUUUGUUCAGACUGUCAGCAGUUCAGGACAGGGAUUGUAACAUCCACAAUCCAGACAGGAACUGAGUUUUAGGAAGGCCUGUUGCAGUUUGUAGUGUAACAGGUAAAAUAAACAGUAAAAUAAAUAGUGAAAAGGUAAUAAAAUAGGGUCACCAAAUGCAUGGGUGAGCCCUUGCUAGCAGAGGACCAACUGCCUUUGAUGACAGGUGUCCUUCAAGCAUUUGAUUGACACGGCUUGUUCCCUACAGAGAUUAGCAACCUGGAUUAAUCAAGCAUCUCCUUACCUUAUGACAAUUUAAUGUGGAACCACGUUCUGCCUCCCCUGCUGUUUGAGCUAUUUUGUUUACGUAAAACAAUACCUAGCCUGUGGAAAUAGGACAAGCAGCUAGUCUGGCCUAGACACCGAAUGUAAAUCUGAAUUGUAGAAAGCUCUAAACAAACACACAACAAAAUCUAGCUCGUAUUUCCCUUCUCAACCAGUUUUCAAAGCCCUAUGCAAAGCAGUUCUGCAUUGUUACCGCCUUCCGACAGAUGGACAGACUGAGAUACAAAGAGAUGAAGUGAUUUGCUAGAAGAGUGAGAAAGUUCGGACUCAAAAACAGGUUUCUUGAUUUCCCAGUCAAAUGUUCUGUCCUUUGGACCACAACCACUGGGUUGCAAUCAGCAGAGUGCUUAUCUGGCAUAUUUAAAUGU